rnacentral:misc_RNA from 1 species
AGCAGCCGCGGUAAUUCCAGCUCCAAUAGCGUAUAUUAAAGUUGUUGCAGUUAAAAGCUCGUAGUUGAAUUUCGGGGUCAGUAGGCUGGUCGUGCCACGGGUGCGUACUGGUUUCACUGAUUCCUCCUUCCUGAAGAACCGUAAUGCCAUUAAUUUGGUGUUGCGGGGAAACNGGACUGUUACUUUGAAAAAUUGAGUGUUUAAAGCAGGCUAACGCUUGAAUACAUUAGCAUGGAAUAAUGAAAUAGGACGAUCGAUCCUAUUUUGUUGGUUUCUAGGAUUGUCGUAAUGAUUAAUAGGGAUAGUUGGGGGCAUUAGUAUUCAAUUGUCAGAGGUGAAAUUCUUGGAUUUAUUGAAGACUAACUACUGCGAAAGCAUUUGCCAAGGAUGUUUUCAUUAAUCAAGAACGAAAGUUAGGGAUCGAAGAC